AGUCACAUGUGAAAAACAGUUUUGACUUAACCCAGGAACAGCCUGAGGAGGCAGCGGUAUGCUCAGUGUAACAUUGGGAACUUCCCUCAGCAAAGGGCAAGGGUCAGAUGACAACAGCCAACCAGGAAUGCAGCUUUCUGAGGAUCACUGCCUGCCAGGGUAGCUACCAAAGAUAAAGACAAAAAGCCCAGCAUCACAGAUGGACUCUCAAAUGAGGUGAAAGACAAGGACUGCAUGGUUCCACUUCCUGGUAGCAUCCAGGAACAACCCCAUCCCCAUCUAUAGACUGGGAUGCUGAUUACCAAGGGGCUGAGAACUUCAUAUUGGAGAAGGUGAGCAGCCACCAGCUUAUAGUAACAAGAUAAGAAACCCAAGCCAGUCAGCCAAGACGGAAAUGAGACCAUCAGUAUGAAUGCAGCCUCUUGGUGACACUCUGAGAAGUCACCCUGACUUGUUUCGGAGGAGAAACGCACUUGUUCUAGUCUUCACAUUUCUGGGCUCCUGAAAGGGACAGUGUUAAGGAGACACUGGCUAUAUAAGAAGGCAUGGACAUCCCCUCAAAGUCUUCUAACCUUGCCAGAAGCUCAUCUGUGUGAUUCCUCCAACAGGACCACGUGGGGUCAGAAAGGUGGCCUGAAGACACUGCUAGAUACUUCCUUAGCAUCUAUAAACCUGUACGUGUGGCUCUUCAUUUUCUAAAUAGCAAGACUUCCCCAGAGCCCUGGCAGGAGCUAGAGCAUCCUCCUUGGCCCUCACAACCAAACACUAUGCAACCUGCAGGGAGUCCUUGUCCCCUUAGCGCAGGACAAUAUUUUCACAAAGUAAAAAGUAGCAAAGUAUUUUUUAAAAGCAUUGGGAGGGGGCUGGAGAGAUGGCUCAGAGGUUAAGAUCACCGACUGCUCUUCCAGAGGUCCUGAGUUCAAUUCCCAGCAACCACAUGGUAGCUCACAACCAUCCUUGAUGAGAUCUGGUGCCCUCUUCUGGUGUGCAGAUAUACAUGGAAGCAGAAUGUUGUAUACAUAAUAAAUAAAUGUCUUAAAAAAAAAAGCAUUGGGAGAUGCCAGGUGUAGAGGCACCCACCUUUAACUCCAGCACUUAGAAGGCAGAGGCAGAAAGAUGCCUGUGAGUUCGAAGCCAGCCUGGUCUAUACAGUGAGUUCCAGGACAGCCAGGGAAACAUAGUGAGACUCUGUCUUGAAUAAAACAAAGCAAGCAACAAACCAACAAAAAAGCCACUGGAAAAUGUGGCCCAGGAUGCAGUGGCACCUACUGUGAGGGAAGGUUAUGGGGAGCAUCACCAUUGCUCUUCCCCGCCUUCUUAGGCUUCAGAAACUAAAGACAUACACUUAGAACAGGCUGUUCCCUGCCCUAAGCUACUCCAUUCUGCAGCAAACAGUGGGUUUUCAGGAUCUCCCUCGCACUGGGUGAUUCCAAUUUAUAAGCAGUACUUGACUUUAGUUUGAGCAGAGAUGCAGAGGCAGGGGGUUUGUGAGUCUUGUGUGCAUGUAGCAACUACUACCUGCCCAGCACCACCCAAGAGGCCCAAACUGAUUCACAACUGUAGAUGGGCACAGCCCUACGAACUACCGAAGUAGAUGGAGACAGUGUGAGCACAUGAGAAUAACAAAAUUUUAUCAGGAGAAACAGACCUGAGAAUGUAUUGAACAUGCCAAAGGAAGGAUACACCACCACAAUCUGGACUCUGUAAAGAGAAGGACCUCUAAUGUGGCGAUGGUGACUCCCCCUCCUGUGUGUGCCAAGGCAUCCACACGAAGACAAUGUCCAACUGCCUCAGGAGCAGCUCAGUUCUUACAACUAACAUGACCUACUCGAAUUGCCACAGUGCAUCAGUCUGGACCUGGUCCUGCACCUCACCUCCAUGAUCCUACAGUCUGGCACUUGUCUAUAAUGGCCUCUAUCAUCCUGCAUCUCACCUCUGCAGCUCAGCUCAGGACCACUGGACAUUCUCCAGUUGUGCCUAUUAAUGUCUUAUCUAAACUCUCUCUUUGCACCUAAAUCUGCUCUCUGCCUCUCCUCUUUGAAUUCCUGAACUCUGUUGUGGCUGUGUUAAUCCUCUCUCUCUCUCUCUCUCUCUCUCUCUCUCUCUCUCUCUCUCUCUCUUUCUCUCUAAGUAUAAUUACUAUGUAAUGUGUAAUAAGUAAUCUGAUAAUUACUGUUAUUGAUUGGGAUUGGGAUAAAAGAACCUGAGUUUGCUAAUGGUCAGCUAUCAAGGUUGAGAUGACUUAGCAAACUGCAGCCAAAGAAAC
ensembl:lncRNA